rnacentral:rRNA from 1 species
UUGGACAAUGGGGGAAACCCUGAUCCAGCAAUGCCGCGUGAGUGAAGAAGGCCUUAGGGUCGUAAAGCUCUUUCGCCCGCGAAGAUAAUGACGGUAGCGGGAGAAGAAGCUCCGGCUAACUCCGUGCCAGCGGCCGCGGUAAUACGGAGGGGGCUAGCGUUGUUCGGAAUUACUGGGCGUAAAGCGUACGUAGGCGGAUGCGCAAGUUGGGGGUGAAAUCCCGGGGCUUAACCUCGGAAUUGCCCUCAAAACUGCACGAAUUAAGACCGAGGGAGGUAAGGGGAAUGCCUAGUGUAGAG